rnacentral:lncRNA from 1 species
CGCUUUUGGUAGCUAAGUAUGAAGCAUGACAUUGUGGACUUUGUCUCUAAAUGCCUUACAUGCCAACAAGUUAAGUUAGAACAUUAAAGACCUAGUGAUUUACUCUAGUGCCUUUCUAUUCCAGAAUAAAAAUGGGAACAUGUGACUAUGGACUCCGUCACAAGAUUGCCAGGAAUAGGAUUCACGCCCAAUGCAAUUU